AGGGAAUCUUCCGCAAUGGACGAAAGUCUGACGGAGCAACGCCGCGUGGGUGAUGAAGGCCUUCGGGUCGUAAAACUCUGUUGUCAGGGAAGAACAAGUACCGGAGUAACUGCCGGUACCUUGACGGUACCUGACCAGAAAGCCACGGCUAACUACGUGCCAGCAGCCGCGGUAAUACGUAGGUGGCAAGCGUUGUCCGGAAUUAUUGGGCGUAAAGCGCGCGCAGGCGGUCCUUAAGUCUGAUGUGAAAGCCCACGGCUCAACCGUGGAGGGUCAUUUGAAACUGGGGGACUUGAGUGCAGAAGAGGAAAGCGGAAUUCCACGUGUAGCGGUGAAAUGCGUAGAGAUGUGGAGGAACACCAGUGGCGAAGGCGGCUUUCUGGUCUGUAACUGACGCUGAGGCGCGAAAGCGUGGGGAGCAAAC
rnacentral:rRNA from 1 species